rnacentral:rRNA from 1 species
UACAGAGGUCUCAAGCGUUGUUCGGAUUCAUUGGGCGUAAAGGGCGCGUAGGCGGUGCGGUAAGUCGGGUGUGAAAUCUCGGAGCUUAACUCCGAAACUGCAUUCGAUACUGCCGUGCUUGAGGACUGGAGAGGAGACUGGAAUUUACGGUGUAGCGGUGAAAUGCGUAGAUAUCGUAAGGAAGACCAGUGGCGAAGGCGGGUCUCUGGAACGGUACUGACGCUGAGACGCGAAAGCGUGGGGAGCGAACAGG